CAAUAGCGUAUAUUAAAGUUGUUGCAGUUAAAAAGCUCGUAGUUGGAUUUGUGGUGCGUGUCCUGGCGUCCGAAUUUUCGGUUCUGCUAGGGCCGUGCCAUCCUUGGGUGGAAUCUGUGUGGCAUUAGGUUGUCGUGCAGGGGAUGCCCAUCAUUUACUGUGAAAAAAUUAGAGUGUUCAAAGCAGGCGUUUGCCGUUGAAUAUAUUAGCAUGGAAUAAUUCGAUAGGUCUAUGAUCCUAUUUUGUUGGUUUGCGGGUCAAAGAAAUGAUUAACAGGGACAGUUGGGGCUAUUCGUAUUCCAUUGUCAGAGGUGAAAUUCUUGGAUUUCUGGAAGACGAACUACUGCGAAANCANNNAGCAAGGAUGUUUUCAUNAA
rnacentral:rRNA from 1 species